rnacentral:rRNA from 1 species
GACGAACGCUGGCGGCGUGCUUAACACAUGCAAGUCGAACGGAAAGGCCCUGCUGUUGUGGGGUGCUCGAGUGGCGAACGGGGGAGUAACACGUGAGUAACCUGCCCUUGACUUUGGGAUAACUUCAGGAAACUGGGGCUAAUACCAGAUAGGAGCUCCUGCUGCAUGGUGGGGGUUGGAAAGUUUCGGCGGUUGGGGAUGGACUCGCGGCUUAUCAGCUUGUUUGGGGGGUAGUGGCUGACCACGGCUUUGACGGGUAGCCGGCCUGGGAGGGUGGCCGGGCACAUUAGUCCUACGAUACGCACCAGUCUCCAACAGGGGGCAGUGGUGGGGAGUAUUGCACAGUGAGCGGACGCGUGAUAAAGAGACGUCGCGGGCGUAAUGACGGCUUUCGGGUUAUAAACCGCUUUCGCCUAAGACGAAGCGUGAGUGACGGUACUGGGUAAAGAAGCACCGGCUAACUACGUG